rnacentral:rRNA from 1 species
GAAUUAUUGGGCGUAAAGGGUACGUAGGCGGCUGGUCAAGUCUGGGGUCAAAGGCCACAGCUCAACUGUGGGAAGGCCCUGGAAACUGACCGGCUAGAGUAGGUAGGGGUUGCGGGAAUUCCCGGUGUAGCGGUGAAAUGCGUAGAGAUCGGGAAGAACACCUGAGGCGGAAGCGCGCAACUGGGCCUCAACUGACGCUGAGGUACGAAAGCUAGGGGAGCGAAUGGGAUUAGAUACCCCAGUAGUCCUAGCCGUAAACGAUGGGCACUUGGCAGUGGGUUCGUCGAUGGGUCCACUGCCGGAGGGAAACCGUGAAGUGCCCCGCCUGGGGAGUAUGGUCGCAAGGCUGAAACUCAAAGGAAUUGACGGGGGCUCACACAAGCGGUGGAGCAUGUGGCUUAAUUCGAGGCUACGCGAAAAACCUUACCUGGGCUUGACAUGCAGGGAUUAGCGGCGGAAACGUCGUGACCCGCAAGGGGAACCUGCACAGGUGCUGCAUGGCUGUCGUCAGCUCGUGCCGUGAGGUGUCGGGUUAAGCCCCUUAACGAGCGAAACCCCUGCGGCCAGUUGCCAACACUCCUGUGGGGACUCUGGCCGGACCGCCGGCGUGAAGCCGGAGGAAGGUGGGGAUGACGUCAAGUCCUCAUGGCCCUUAUGCCCAGGGCUGCACACGUGCUACAAUGGCGGGGACAAAGCGUCGCCACGCCGUAAGGCCGAGCCAACCGCGUAAACCCCGCCCCAGUUCGGAUCGAGGGCUGCAACCCGCCCUCGUGAAGCCGGAAUCGCUAGUAAU